AUUUUAAGGCAGUCUAUGGGUCAGUCACCACCAUUUUGUGUCAGGACACGGGUCAGUUCCCGCCAUUUUGGGGCUCUCAGCUGUGGGUCAGGUGCCGCCAUUUUGGGGCAGGCUGUGGGUCAGUCGUGACCAUGUUGGGGCAGGUCACAAAUUAAUGUGCCUUUCUGGGGAGGCCAUGCGGUCAUCCUGUGCCAUUUUGGUGCGGACAAGAGGCUGACAGUGGCUCAAGGGAGCAGGGGGAGCCAUUCCUGCCAUACAUAGAGAGCUCGGCCUGUUCCCCCCUGCCCCACUUGUCACCUGGUUUGUUUGAGCUACUCAGACAUUCCUCUGGUUGUCUGCACCUCCCCAUGGCUCUAAGCAGUGACCAGGACCUGAGUGAUGGGGCCUUUUUUCCUGUGAUGCUGAUCCUAACCGAGCAGACAGAGGGAGAAAAAAGAGAGGAGAAGAGGAAAAGAGGAACGAGGAUUGUCCUACGGUGAACAGUCGCUAUUCCUGUAGCCAAAAACGAAACAAGAACAGCUUUCUGUGGUAUCGAGUGCAGGGAAGCAGUUAUGGGAUUCUGAGUUUACAGGGGUUACGUGCUGCCUGGUGAAGUUCAUGUCUGAGCAACCCCUCUUCUGAAGGAAACUCCAAAAAAACAGUUGGUUUCUGGCAGCUGCCCCUUUAUGAAGUUGUGCCUUCUGGGUCAGAGAUGAAAGGAGCUGGCUGUAACCCUGUGCAACUGAAACCCUUUUUCCGAAGGAGAAGACUUUGAAAGAAAGGCGACAUUGUGAUAAUCCUUUUAGAUCUGCUGUUUUGUUGACAGAGGUCUAUAAACACUGGCCUUCAACCAAACCUUACAGCAAGAAUGUUUCUGUACUGGAUGAAGAGGGCAGUGAGUCAGUCCCUUUGUCUACUUUUGGAAGUAUGAUUGGAAUAUGAGAGCUUUAGCAGACCAAGCUGCUGAUGGAACUGAAAGGAAAAAAUGAUAUUUCAACUCCUGGACAAUUAAAAACGAGAGCUGGAGGCCUGGACCUGAGUCAACUGAACUUCUCCAGUGUGUGGUGAUCAUUGAAUUGGGCUUGGAGACAUGAGAAAAGGUGCUGGAAAACUUGGAGCUGGCUCUGAAUUGCCAUUCAAGCAAUUUGUGUAAAAAAAAGGCUGCCAGAUUCCUCUGCCAGGGACUAAUUGGAGCUGAUGAUCGCCUGCCAUGAGAAUUCCAUUUCAAAGAUCCAGAAGUAGCUGCAAGAAAGCUGCAGAAUGGGUGAGAAGGUGAAAAACAGCAGCUUUGCAGAGGAAGAUGAUUUAUCACAUAGAGAUCUUCAGGCUGCUGCCUCAAGAAACGGUGUUUAUAAGCAUAACAUAGAGAUUGGGUUUGGGAUCAGAAUAAGGGUCUGACUGGGAUGAGAUGAAAAGUUGCUGCUUCUCAAAAAUCCACCUGAAGCUAGUCAAGGUUUGAGAGCUUGGAUUUAAAAGAUCUAAUAGUCACCCUUGCAUACAUUACUGGAAUAAUCAGGUAAUUAUUACCUUCUCUUUUUGUGGUGAAAUUAAUUGCAGCAUUAUUCCUAAAGUCCUAACUCAGCUGUCUGACAGGAUGGGAAGAAAUGCAGACUCCCAGAAAAAGUCUCCUCACUUACUCAUGGUUUUUUAUGGUAAAGCCUGUUUUGUGAUGAGUCAGGCACUUCUGGCUCCUGUUUUGUGGGAUAAAACUCCUGACAUACUGCAUUCCUCCUGUAAGAGUAGCAGCCCCCUAGAAAUCUUGGGAAUCUCCAGGUUUAUUCCACCUCUCAUGAGACCUCUGUGGAGUCCUUGGAGCAACUGAAGCAGA